rnacentral:rRNA from 1 species
AUCCAGACUCCUACGGGAGGCAGCAGUGGGGGAUAUUGCACAAUGGGGGGAACCCUGAUGCAGCGACGCCGCGUGGGUGAAGAAGUAUUUCGGUAUGUAAAGCCCUAUCGGCAGGGAAGAAUUUAGACGGUACCUGACUAAGAAGCCCCGGCUAACUACGUGCCAGCAGCCGCGGUAAUACGUAGGGGGGAAGCGUUAUCCGGAUUUACUGGGUGUAAAGGGAGCGUAGACGGCAUGGCAAGUCUGAUGUGAAAACCCGGGGCUCAACCCCGGGACUGCAUUGGAAACUGUCAGGCUAGAGUGUCGGAGAGGCAAGUGGAAUUCCUAGUGUAGCGGUGAAAUGCGUAGAUAUUAGGAGGAACACCAGUGGCGAAGGCGGCUUACUGGACUGUAACUGACGUUGAGGCUCGAAAGCGUGGGGAGCAAACAGGAUUAGAUACCCCCGUA